AUACUUACCUGGCAGGGGAGAUACCAUGAUCAGUGCGGUGGCGCUCCCAGGAUGAGGCUAUCCCAUAGCACUUCGGGUAUGCUGACGUCUGCAAUGUCCCUAAAUGCUCGACUGCAAAAUUUGUGGUAGUGGGGGACUGCGUUCGCGCUCGUUUUUA